UCAAUUUUCCUUAUUGAUUUCAAUUUGAUCCUCGAACUCCGAAUCACCAUUCUAAGUAGAUUUUGGGGUUUCAGAACUCUCAAAUUCCUUUUAAAUUUUUCAUUUGAACUAGCUCGAGGUAUAAAUCAACUUCACAGCACCUCUAGGGGCAAUACCGUCUUUUGUCGAUUUCUCGGGCUUCCUCAAUAUACAAACAUUCUAUCGAGCAUGUGAAUGACAUCAUAAUUAUUUUACAAAGUAGGGUUUGACACCCAGAAUGUCAACCGAAACCCCGCAAGGCUUUAAUAUCAGCUUCUCAUUUUCCUUGUGAGUAACUGUUGCCAAAUACCACGUUCUAAAAGAUUUUAAACUGUUUCCAACUUAAAACAAACAAAAUAAUAAUUUUCGUCUCAUAUGGGUAUUUUGGUCAUUUUUUUCAUAAAAUUUCGAAACUAACUGAACUGUAAUAUACAACUACAAAACACAUAAUUCAAAAUCAAAAAUAAAUUUGGAUGUCUAAAACAUUCAUUUAAAAUGAAAUUAUGACUAUUAGAAUAAAAUAAAAAUAUAAAAUAAAAUAUUCAAUUUUCUAAUAAAACAAUAUUUUUAGAACACUAUGUAAAUAAUUUUUACAGCGUAAAAGCAAAAUAAAUUCAUACAUGCUAUUAACAAAUAACCAAAGUAUAAAAUUUAAUUUACAGUGACACAUGGGCUCACGAAUGACAAAAAGUAUUUAAAGAAAUGAACCUACAGUUUUUGGAUGUGGCAAGUCCAACUGUAGUCCUCGUCGAUAUCAGUUAUCUACAAUCUAUUCUGAGCCUCAAAUGGGUGAAAAAGAGGGUGGUGAGAUUAUAAAAUCUCAGUGAGUAAACAAAUAUCAUUUAAAAUAUCUAAAGGCGAGUAAAAGGAGACUAUUAAAACAUUUCAUUAAACUGUAAUUUAUCAUCUUUCAACUUAUUUCAACCAAAUGAAAUCAAUUUAUUUAAAUCAAGUAAUCUGUAUGACUUAUGAAUUUCUUAAAAGCUUGGCUCACGCCAAAAAUUAUUAUCAUACUCAGUUAUCUGGGAUACCUUGACCGAGGGCUAUCCUAACUGAGUCCGCCAAGGCUAUUAGAAAGUCAUGUACGCAUAAAUCAUGUUUUUAUUUUGAAAACAUAGCCAUUUCUUGGCAUUGGCUGAGUUCCCCUUCACGUGGUGGUUUGGCGUGAAGUGAACUCUAAAAGUUAUACCUCGGGAGUUACCCUACUCGCCUCUCCAACUGAGGUAAAAUAUAACGGGUUUACCGUGCCCCACUAAUAGGCUAGUCCAUGGAAACCCGCCCACUGCAGUAAGCUACACCCACCAUACAAUAAAAUUUUGACAGCAUGACAGGGCUAAUAUAUUAUUACCCAGCCUGCAAGGGUAAAAUAAAGCAAUUCAUACAAUUCAUAAAACACAAUCCAGCUAGUCAUGCCAACACAUUAACAUAAGCCAUCAAUUCCAAUCAUAAAUUUACAACAUACCAGUGGUAUCCAAUUACUCUAUUUUUCAAAAUCAUUUUUUCAUUUCAAGACAAUUCAAAAAAUCAUUUUAUUUAAACAUAUUUUAUUUGUAAAACCAAAAAUUAACCAUUUAAACUCAUUUUCAUAAAAUUCCACCAAAACUGAUUAAAAACAUACUUUAGAUAAUUAAAAUGAUGAUAAGGUUACUCACAGUAUUAGGAGUUCGAUAUACUCCUAUUCCCGGUCUUCGGGCACAAUCUCUUUACUCUUAUUAGAGGGCUCACCACCUAUACAUCAUACGUGACAUGAAUUUUAAUAAAUUGUGUUAAUUUAUCAUAAACUAUUUCAGGCUCUAUAAAUCUAUAUGAAUGCACGAAAUGUGAUGCAAAAUGUCUGAAUAGCCGUUUAAAUACGGUGUUCGACCUAAUUCGCACUAUUCUCGGUGUAAUUGGCUAAAAUCUCCAACUUAACUCCAAAUCAAUUCUUCUCACUAUCUACACUCCAAUUAUACCUAAAUUACCUCAGUGACUGUGAAUGAGAUUCAAUUUAUCAAUCCCGGGUCAAUAAUCACACUUGUCUAUACGUUGAGCAAAAAUUCAUAUUUUCACACCAAAAUUUCCCAUUUAAUUUCUAAUCUCACCAAACAUCAAAUAUCACCAAAAUAUCAUGAAAUAUCAUCAAUUUUAGCCACAAUAUCCUCCUUAGGAAAUUUGGCUAUUGAUGGUUGAUGGGGAAAAUGAAUUCUUUUCUUGUUGUUUUGUUUCUAAAUAUACUAAACUAACUAAAAACACUAACAUAACUUAAAAUCAAAUCAAUCUAACAUCUUUCUCUCUCCAUGCCCAUUUUAACUAGCCAUAAAUUCACCAUGAAAACAUGAAAUCUAACCAUGAAAAAUAAGGAGAAAUGCAUGGGAAAGGUAGAUCACAAGUCAAAAUCAAUAAAUUUUACCUUUGAUUGUUUGAUUACUUGAAAUCCACUAAUUUUUCCUUGAAUUUUCCCACCUAGGGUUCUUGUUCUUCUUUUCCUCUCUUUGUUCUUGCUAUGGCCGGCCAUAAU
rnacentral:lncRNA from 1 species